ACAAUUCAUUCCUCUCUUCCUGCAGAGCACGGCAGAGGUUCUCUAGUCUCUGGAUUUUCAGCACGAAGCACUCGUAUUCCUUGGACCUCAUGGCUUUCUGUAGUCAAAGACAUCAGGCAAAGCUCUGCAUUGCAUAUUCAUCACCACUUGGCUGCACGAAUGUGCAGUUAAUGGGAAUUCCACACACCAGAUGAGUGAAGAUGACAUUUACAUGACAUGAUGUGCACAUAAUGUACCACAUGUUUCCUGAAAAAGAAGCAGUUUCCUAAAUAUCCAGGAACCUGCUGGACAAAACAACAAAAGAGGAGCUGGAGACCAGGAAUGCUGUUCAUGUGGGGGCUUUGUUGCUGAUGGAGGAGAAUUCUCUUCAGAGAAGAGUUUCCCAAAAUGACAUGUGGAACCUCCUCUUGCCAGGCUCCUCUGGCUCACAGGACCCUGUGAGAGUGUCUGUCAGUUGUGUUUCUGAAGGUCAUGUCAUCAGUGGGGGUGUGUCAUGGUGCAUCAAACCUCUUUUGGGCUCUUUGUCUCAGUAAAAUUCCUGGAGGAAACAUGGACAGUCCCUGCUGUUUCCUUGGGAGCCUUUUGUUCUGUGGGUGCAAGACUCCUGCCUUUCAUAGAAGGCUGGUAGGGAGCAGGGUGGAUUUGGAGGGGGCGAAGAGGACCAGCAACAUAAUUGCUAAUGGUAACCCCUGCACAGUCUGGUUAUUUCUUUUGAUGUGUGUCCAUCACUGGAUGUUUGGAAAAAAAUUCCUGUACUGUAAAUUAGCACCCUAACAGUGAGGUCAAAGAAGUCUUUCACCUCUGAAGCUUUUAAUGAUUUCAUCUUCUGAUCCAACACACAAUAACCCUCCUCACUAUAUCACAGAUGUGCAUACAUUGCAAAGUAUUUCUGAAAUCCAGAUGUUUUCUGAUUGAAAAACAGUUGCACGUGAGCUUUAACAUGCAAACCUUAAUAAUAACAGUUGCUGUUAGGACUACAUUAUCUAAUAAUAUGCUAUCACUUGUACUAAUUAACCCCAGUAUGACUGGGAAAGCCUGUGAGCACUGGGGAAUGAUGUGCAGCUCAAACAAGACAGUCAACAGCAUCAUAUUUUACACUUUCAUCUGUUUUCUGUAGUUGUUCAGUAGUUUAUGUUUACAGUAGAGAGCUCUAUGUAUUAUUAAUCAAAUCACAGCUAAGUGUACCACAAAACAAUGCUCUCAUCAGCUUGGAGUAUAUUUACAGUUUAUGUCCAACUUUUAACACAUGUAUUGUCUAUUUUUGCUUCUGUAGAUCACUAGAUGGGCUUUUGCAUCUAAACAAGCUGCACUAGCUGAAAUAAUUUUUCUAGUAUUGUAGGAAAAUAAAUUUAUUUUCUGUAAUUAAGGCUGAGAUAUUUUUUCAUCAUAAGUUUGGUUUUGUCCCCUUCCCCUUUCUGCUGAAAAACAUAAAAGUGUUCUUUUUGCUUCACAUUUUGCAUGCACAGCCUGUG